UACGGACGGUGCAAGCGUUAAUCGGAAUUACUGGGCGUAAAGCGCACGCAGGCGGUCUGUUAAGUCAGAUGUGAAAUCCCCGGGCUUAACCUGGGAACUGCAUUUGAAACUGGCAGGCUUGAGUCUGGUAGAGGGGGGUAGAAUUCCAGGUGUAGCGGUGAAAUGCGUAGAGAUCUGGAGGAAUACCGGUGGCGAAGGCGGCCCCCUGGACGAAGACUGACGCUGAGGUGCGAAAGCGUGGGGAGCAAACAGG
rnacentral:rRNA from 1 species